rnacentral:rRNA from 1 species
CUCGUAGUCGGAUUUCGGGGCGGGGCCGCCGGUCUGCCGAUGGGUACGCACUGGCGGGCGCGUCCUUCCUUCCGGAGACUGGCCCUACUCUUAGCUGAGCGGGGUCGGGAGUCGGAUCGUUUACUUUGAAAAAAUCAGAGUGUUUCAAGCAGGCAGCUCGCUCUUGCAUGGAUUAGCAUGGGAUAAUGAAAUAGGACUUUGGUGCUAUUUUGUUGGUUUCGAACACCGAAGUAAUGAUUAACAGGGACAGUCAGGGGCACUCGUAUUCCGCCGAGAGAGGUGAAAUUCUCAGACCAGCGGAAGACGAACCACUGCGAAAGCAUUUGCCAGGGAUGUUUUCACUGAUCAAGAACGAAAGUUAGGGGAUCGAAGACGAUCAGAUACCGUCGUAGUCUUAACCAUAAACCAUGCCGACUAGGGAUCGGCGGAAGUCCUUCUUUGACUCCGUCGGCACCUUGAGGGAAACUAUAGUCUUUGGGUUCCGGGGGGAGUAUGGUCGCAAGGCUGAAACUUAAAGGAAUUGACGGAAGGGCACCACCAGGAGUGGAGCCUGCGGCUUAAUUUGACUCAACACGGGGAAACUUACCAGGUCCAGACAUUGUGAGGAUUGACAGAUUGAGAGCUCUUUCUUGAUUCGAUGGGUGGUGGUGCAUGGCCGUUCUUAGUUGGUGGAGUGAUUUUGUCCUGGGUUAAUUCCGUUAACGAACGAGACCUUAGCCUAUUAAAUAGUGGCGCGAACGCUUUGUU